UCCCUGGUAGUAUAUCGGUUUAGUACACGCGCCUGUCAUAUUCCCACUAGUAAGAAGACUGACUACUGGAUAAAUGCAUGAAACGCGCGAAAGCUGGGUUCGACUCCCAGCCAGGGAG